rnacentral:miRNA from 1 species
AUGCACAUUACCUUAAGUCUUCUUAAAGUGCAGAAUCUGGUUCAAUAGAUCUGACUGGGACUCAAUUCUGCAUUUCUAACAAGUUUCCAAGUGAUACUGUU